ensembl:snRNA U2 U2 spliceosomal RNA
AAAGCAGCCUCGCCUGAAGACCAAGUGUAGUAGCUGUUCUUACCAGUUUAAUAUCUCUGAAACGUCUGUAUAGGACGACUAUAUAUUAAAUUGAUUUCUAGAACCGUGUUCUGCUCCAUACAUUGACCGAGUAUUGCAGUACCUCCAAGAGCGAUGCACCUCCU